GGUUUUAACGGGUAACGGGGAAUUAGGGUUCGAUUCCGGAGAGGGAGCCUGAGAAACGGCUACCACAUCCAAGGAAGGCAGCAGGCGCGCAAAUUACCCAAUCCCAACACGGGGAGGUAGUGACAAUAAAUAACAAUAUGGGGCCCUCACGGGUCUCGUAAUUGGAAUGAGUACAAUUUAAAUCCCUUAACGAGGAACAAUUGGAGGGCAAGUCUGGUGCCAGCAGCCGCGGUAAUUCCAGCUCCAAUAGCGUAUAUUAAAGUUGUUGCAGUUAAAAAGCUCGUAGUUGAAUUUCGGGGUCUGUCCAUCGGUCGGGCUUUUUCGGUCCGCACUGUUGCGAUGGAUUCCUACCUUCUGAAUAACCGAUUUGCCAUUAAUUUGGUGGGUCGGGGAAGCAGGACUGUUACCUUGAAAAAAUUAGAGUGCUCAAAGCAGGCUAGUGCCUGAAUACAUUAGCAUGGAAUAAUAAAAUAGGACGGCAAUGGAAUAAUAAAAUAGGACGGCAUGGUUCUAUUUUGUUGGUUUCUAGGAUCACCGUAAUGAUUAAUAGGGAUAGUUGGGGGCAUUAGUAUUCAAUUGUCAGAGGUGAAAUUCUUGGAUUUAUUGAAGACUAACUACUGCGAAAGCAUUUGCCAAGGAUGUUUUCAUUAAUCGAGAACGAAAGUUAGGGGAUCGAAGACGAUCAGAUACCGUCGUAGUCUUAACCAUAAACUAUGCCGACUAGGAAUCGGGCGACGUUAUUUUUACGACUCGCUCGGCGCCUUAUGGGAAACCAAAGUGUUUGGGUUC
rnacentral:rRNA from 1 species